GGGCGGGGCCGAGGGCUCCGGCCCCGGGCACGGAACCCCCAAUCAGUGGGGCCUCUGCGAGCAGAGGGCGGGCGGCGGGGCGACGCGUGUCCGGGUGUUGGGCGACGCGUGUCUGGGCGUGGGGCCAGAGGAGAGAGCCCUGCACCGGGACCUGUGGAUCCGGAUAGCGAGGGACGGGCGUCCUGCACAGUGCGGGGUGGGCGCGAUGGAGAGCCGCGUCCUGAGAGCUGCUGGGUGCAGAACUUUGUUGGCGGAGUUCUCGCCGUAGAACAGAGUAUCCCGAGCCGGGAGGGGCACGCCGUGAUCACCGAGAGCACCUCCCGGCGCCACACAGCGCUCAAACCCCGUGUCCGAUGUCCGAUGCUCCUUCAACUCCGACAGCUUGAGGCUGUGCCCUCUGCCCUGGGCAGCCCGUCCCAGUGCUCCACCGCCUUCUGGUGCAGAACCUUUCCCUACCACCCCAAGGCAUGCAGCCAGGUGCUGCAGUACAUCGGGUCCUGCAGGAGCGUGGGACCAGAGAGGUGCCUGCAAGGGAACCACAGGUGCAUAGAGCUUUCAGUAUGGCUGGGCUUUGCAAGGUUCUGUGUGUCCACCUGUGCCACACUUCGAUCAAGCAGGGACACUCAGAGUAGGGUGCCUGAGACACGGCCCUGUCCAAGCACCUUUUGGCCAAGGGACCGUAUUUGUGUCUACAACAGCAAUGGGAGUGUGCAGGAGUGGCUUGUGCGAGCUACCAGGUAGGGUGAGUGAAGCCUGCUGUCUAAGUGGCUAGAAAAACUGGCAUGUUGUCCUGUGCUCCACCUGCAAUAUUGCAAAACACAUGCUUCUUAUGCUUAUCUGAGCAUAUUAAGUUAAAAAUCAUGGGUAAAAUGGUCGAGGCAAGGCUCAAGUCAGGAUGUGGCUAAUAUCUGUGGGUAUAUGUGUUAGAGCUCCCAAAAAAUUCAUUCAAGUGUGUUUUUACAGGCUGCCAAUAGAAAUCUCUGGGGAUACCUAUGAAACUUUGAGUUUUGGGGGAGUGGGGGGAAAAAAAAAGAAUGGUGUAAUCAUCGAGAAAGGAAAUAAAAGCUUUUCUCUAGACCUGCAAGUGUAUAUGAGGGGGUAUGGCAGCUAGUGUGUGAGGUGUCUGAAAAACAGCUUUCUCUAACUGAAAGUGUAUUUUUUGAAAGAGAGAUAGGAAAAGUUGUAUCAAUUAGUAACUGCAGUCUAGACCAGACUUACUCUUGGUUUCAUCUUACUUAUGCUUGAUUUCAUCUGCAAUAAGAUCAAACCAAACCAAAACAUUUUUCUCAUCAAAGGUAGAUACAAGAGAUUGAACUCUCAGAAGUUGCUGAACUUUAUAAAAAAGAAGAAAAAGUAAGUAACAGGAAACACAUACAGGACAUGCAGAUAGGUCAGUGUGAAUUAAUGAGCUCCACAGCUUUUCCCACAUGUCUCUCUGAGACUUUAAUUAUAAGCUGAUUCAAUUUACUUUCCUGGUAGAAACCUAAACCAGAAAAAGCAGAUAGGCUGCUACUGGGCGAGUCAACUGAAGUAAGCAAGGGACUUGUCCAACAAGAACUGAUUUAGGAGAAGUGUUGGAAAGUGUCUAUGGAAGCAAACACAUACUGUAGAGCAAUGCAUUUGCAGAACAUGCAUUGAACAGUUCUCAGAGCUUCUUACUUUUGGAAGCAAUAAACUAGAACAUCACAUUGGAGGGCACUGUUUCCUGCUUGGUGUCCUAUGGGUAAAUAAAAUCCUUUAUUAGUUUGAAAUGAACAGCAGCUGAUUUGCCAUCUUAAUGAUAAGAAGAGAUGCCCACUGAUGUCAGUAGAUUAAUUGAGCCCAAAACUUGUGGGUAUCACUAUAGCUGUUUGAUGCUCAGUUGCGUAAAGUCUCAAUGAGUUUUUUUAAUUUGUAUUAAAAGAUGAAGAGCUAGGAGCUUGCUCAUGUCCUUUUUCUCUGCAUCCCCAAAAUGUACAGCUCUAGCCUCUUGUUUCGGUAUACAUUUCCCUGACCUUUCUCCUUACGUCAGUGUCUCUUAAUUGCAUUCAGGAGAAGACAUAACUUCAGACAGAAAGCUUAAGGGCAUGCAAAACAGCCUUGCCUACAGUUUGGACCUCAUGCAAGUCGUGUAGGCAGUCAGGCUGAGAGGACUGGCUCCAGCUUUCCUGCUUAAUAGUAAAGCAUUAUAUGAUUGCAUUAAAAGUAAGUGCCAGGCACCACUCUACAGCAUCAGGAGAGUGAGAACAGUUUCUUAACCUGACACUGGCAUUAAAAGAAAUGCUCAUUUCGUUGCAGCUUACAGUCCUCUUAUUGUUACUGAUGGCUUUAAGCCUCUGGUAAGGAAACUGUUAUUGAUGACUGCAUCAUAGGAUGGCAUGGGGCAAAAACGAAAGGCGUUUUGAAAAGCUGGUAAUUGCGUUAGGGUAAGCAAAGUGUCGCUUUUUCUUGACUUCCUCCAUUUCAGGUGUUUGCAGGGAUUCAGGAAGAAAAUUGUUUUUAUUGCCUGCAGCUAGUACUGCUGAGUUAUAUCAGAACAACAUGAGGAUGAAGUAUGAUUUUGUGUUCUAAGCAUGGAUUAAAAAGUUGUUGCUCUUUUCUCCUCCAGUGAUGCAGUUCACCAUCUAGAGUAUGCAGUUCUACUGCAAUGACUGUCUCCAGGGUUUCACUGUUCAGGAGAUUACCAGAAACUGACAAAAAAACAACCUUCUGAAAAACGGGAAGAAUUGCAAAGGACUUUGCAACUUCUUAUUUUAAUUUCUGGAGAAAGCUGCGUUUUCUUUGAAAAAAUAUUCUGAACCAACUCUCUUGAUUCAGAGUAAGAAUAUUCACUUAAACAUGAUCUGAAAUAAGCAAAAGGUAUCAUUUAAAACUGUUAACAGUCUGUCCCCCAGCAGUCUGUUGGGGGAAAAAAAAGGUAAGAUAGGAUGAAACGAUAGGGAGGAAGGAAAAGUAACCAAGAACAAAAAUUUGAGUAAUCCUAAAGAGCGACACAUUUCUUCAGCAAACUAACAGAGAUUGUAAAAACAUUUUUCUGAAUAAACAAUGGGGAUUUUUGUCACCCCACAGUAUUUAAACCAGUGUAAAGCAGGAUGUAAAGAGUAAAACGUGAGUGGAGUCCAUUAUUCAGACUGUACAGGAUUAAAAACAAACUUCAGAGUUCACAUGUGAAAAUUUUACACACAAUCUUUGAAGAAAUUAGGCUGCAAUUAGACAAUAUUAUAAACAGUAUUACUUUGAAAUGUAGUUCUAGCAGGCCCUAUAAUUUAAAAAAUUGUGAUGUGAUUCAGUUAUAUGCAAUUGCCUUCUAAGAGAUGUAUUCCACCUUAUUCUUCGCUAUGUGCAGGGUCCAGUUGGCCUUCACUGAGUGUUUUACCUGGAGAAGUCCUGUCUUCAAGUCAGAAUGGAAGACACUGGUGUUCUUAGCACCAUGCUUACACAGUUCUAGUCGCUGAAGUAAGCAGGCUGAGCCAGUGCUGCACUCGCUUUGUGGAGGAGGAAGGGAGGGAGCACCUCCAACUAUGGGAAGAGAGAAGAGGUUGUCCUUUUGUCUUUGAAAGGAGACUGGCUUCUUACCUGCUGUCACUGUUCAGCCAGGAGCCAGGAGGCCUUGACACUGUCUAUUUAAGGCUUUAGGUUGGCCUUACUUCUUAUGUGGUUAGCAGUUAAGUCAAGUAUGAUCCCCAAGAAUUGGAUGUGCUGAUCUGGCCAUACUGCCACACUGUCUUGCAAAGCUACCUGGCACUGCCUCACAUGGGAGGGGGGGGCAACAUGCUGUUUACAGCCCUGUGCCAAAACUGACCUACUGAUCUACCCAGACCUGCCAGGAACACUACUGGGAAGUGUGCCCUGUUCUACAGACAUAGCAGUGACGUGUGGGAGUUAUACUUUUCCUAUACGUCCUAGAAAUCAUCUGCUUUGCUUGCAAGGAUGAUAAAGGAAGAUGCUGCUGACUUGGGCUGAAGGACAAAUGCUGUGGUGGAUGCAAUAGGUUUGGAAGAACCGGACAAAAGUAGAGCAGAAAGGGAAAGGAAGGUUUGAGUAAGGCGUUUUGUAUGGGAAUUAGGAACUGCUCUUGCAAAAGGGAGAGCAAGGCUGAAUGAGCAUCCAGAAGCAAGGUUGCUAGGGUCUGUGGGCAAAGAGUUGUGGAAUGUGGACACUGGAGAAUCAUUCAGCAUGAGAAAGAGUCUGCAAAGUGGAAAGUGGUGCAGGACACAAAAUGAGGAAGGAACAGUAAUAAGGAGGAAGGGCGGAAUGAGAGAUGGCAAGAAGCUGAGGAAAUGGGGGAAAAGCAGUUGAGUUUCUAGGAGAAAGAGGUACACAACUGGGUUCAGUAGAGCAUGCAGCAUUCUGGGAUCUACAAGGUAGCCCAAGUCCCGGACUCUGUAAUUCCUUCAUGAGGGACGUGGGGGAGAAGGGAAGGACCAGAAAAUGCCUCCAGUCAUCUCAGCCAUUAGCACUGACUGCAGCACGUGUACUUGAUAUAACAGUACAGUUUGUCAUUUCCUCUCACAAUGUUUAGAUUUGGCUUUACUUAUUGGAAAGCUUCCAUCAAACACUGCUCACCAGAAUGUGCAUUUCAUUACCCUAUUAUUGCAGCAUAUAAAGCGUGACUACUUACUGCUACUUUUACUCUGUUAGUUCAGGUAGCAGACAUCUACCCACUGCUACAAGCUUCAGCUAGGCUAAUAAGUAGUGUGGGCACCAGUACUGUGGUUAUUUUUCUGGAUUUUUUUGUUGGGGUAGAUUUGUUUGCUUUGAUGUUAAUUAGGAUAACAGAACACAAAUUUGCAAAGUAAAGCAUUCGUACAUAUUUCUGACAUUUCAUAGCCAGAUUUAAAGUUGCUUCUACUAUCCCAGUUCAACUUCCUUAUGCAUAUACCUUUAGAAACACCAUUUGCAUGAAUAGACUUCAGAUACUUGUAAGAUGGACAAAACUUACUAUGUCAAUAUGUAUUAAAACACAUUUAUUGUCUCAUA